rnacentral:rRNA from 1 species
AUUGAACGCUGGCGGCAUGCUUUACACAUGCAAGUCGAGCGGCAGCGCGGGGGCAACCCUGGCGGCGAGCGGCGAACGGGUGAGUAAUGCAUCGGAACGUACCCUGGAGUGGGGGAUAACGCCGCGAAAGCGGCGCUAAUACCGCAUAUGCUCUGAGGAGGAAAGUGGGGGACCGCAAGGCCUCACGCUCUGGGAGCGGCCGAUGUCCGAUUAGCUAGUUGGUGAGGUAAAGGCUUACCAAGGCGACGAUCGGUAGCUGGUCUGAGAGGAUGAUCAGCCACACUGGGACUGAGACACGGCCCAGACUCCUACGGGAGGCAGCAGUGGGGAAUUUUGGUACAAUGGGGGCGAACCCUACGAUCCACGCCAUGCCGCGUGAGUGAAGAAGGCCUCGGUU